GUGAAUCAUCGAAUCUUUGAACGCACCUUGCACUUUUGGAGUCUAUUCAAAAGUAUACCUGUUUGAGUAUCAUAAACAUUUAUCUAAUCCUUCAGGGAUUAGGAUUUGAAGUUCAGUACCGUACCGUACCUUUGGUUUGGUUUGGUGUUGUUCUUUUAAAUGCAGUAAAGUAAAGAUUAGGAUAAAUUCUAUUUUAUUCUCAGUGAGGAUGUUUACAUUCGUGUAAAAUAAUCGCGCCGAGUAGAAUAGACUCUAUUUUAUUUUUAAAAGUUGAACAGUAAAAAUAGAAAUACUUUUACU
rnacentral:misc_RNA from 1 species